GGCUCCGUGCCUUAAUGGUUACGGCUUCUGCCUCACAAGCAGAAGGUUCAGGGAUCAAAUCCCGGUCGGUACCU
rnacentral:tRNA from 1 species